rnacentral:rRNA from 1 species
UUCGCAAUGCCCGAAAGGGUGACGAUGCGACGCCGCGUGAGCGAAGAAGGCCCUAGGGUUGUAAAGCUCUGUCGAGGGUUAUGAAAUAUAGAUGGGUUAAUACCCCAUUUAUUUGACAAAAGCCCAAAAGGAAGCCACGGCUAACUCUGUGCCAGCAGCCGCGGUAAUACAGAGGUGGCAAGCGUUGUUCGGUAUUAUUGGGCGUAAAGAGCACGUAGGUGGUUCUGUAAGUCAGAUGUGAAAGCCUUCUGUUCAAAGGAAGAACGGCAUCUGAAACUGCAGAUCUUGAGUGUAGGAGGGGAGAGUGGAACUUCUGGUGGAGCGGUGAAAUGCGUAGAUAUCAGAAGGAACGUCAGCGGCGAAAGCGACUCUCUGGCCUAUUACUGACACUGAGUGUGCGAAAGUUAGGGGAGCAAACGGGAUUAGAUACCCCGGUAGUCCUAACCGUAAACGAUGGGCACUAAGUAGAGGGGUUUU